CCUCUACCUCUCCGCCAAUCAGAGAGCACGUUUUCAUGUCGCAGCACGUUUGCUAACGGAAGUAGCAGUGGCACCACAGUUGACACAAACAACCUCAGUCUUUAUAAAUAAGAUGGAGGUGGAUCAGCUGUUGUCUCUCUCAGGUUCAGCUCUGGCUCAGGCCAUCAGCUCUCUGCUGGAAACCCCAGGCCUUUACGUUUUCUCAGACAUACUAGAACUGCCCAACGUCCGUGAGCUGGAGACCGGUCCCCACGCUCCAGUGUACCAGCUUCUCAAUCUUUUUGCGUAUGGAACCUACUGCGACUAUAAAGAGAGGGCAGCCUCACUUCCUGAACUCACACCCGCCCAGAAGAACAAACUCCGUCACCUGUCAAUCAUCAGCCUGGCCUCCAAUCUAAAGUGUCUCCCGUAUUCACUACUGCUCCAGCAGCUGGAGUUGAAGAAUGUGCGUGAGCUGGAAGACCUGCUGAUCGAGGCUGUUUACAGUGAUAUUAUCCAUGGGAAACUGGACCAGAGGAAUCAGCAGGUCGAGGUAGACUGCAGCAUAGGUCGAGACCUGGGCCCCAACGAACUACCCAACAUUGCCAACACACUACAGGAGUGGUGUGCAGGUUGUGAAGCAGUUCUGUGUGGCAUUGAGGAGCAGGUGUCCAGAGCCAAUCAGUACAGAGAAAGCCAGCUCAAGGUCAAAGUUCAAGUGGAAACAGAGGUAUCAAACCUACAAAAAACCCUCAAGGCAAGUUCUGCUUCCCCAUCAUCUGGCCCCGCCCCUGCUGGAGCAGCAUCCAAUCAAGAUGCAGACCAGCCGGCUGAGCCAAGAGACCCUGCCUCAUCUCAGGAACCACGGCAACCAGGAAAAAAGAGUUCAAAGGUCAAAGGAGGAUCCACUGGUGAGCAAGUGUUAUAAAGCUACAUUUCUUCAAAGCUGUUCCCAUUUUUGUUUGAGAAACAAACUCAUCUACAUCUUGAAAGGCCUGAGGGCUUCGUGGGAGCGGGAAGAUUUGGUCAAAGUCUAAUUGAUCUCAAGCCCCGAGUUCAAUCUUCAGUAACCUUUUACUCACAGACAGACAUAUUGUGGACUGCUUGCUUGGAUAGAUAAAUAAACCAAACAUCACUUCUCAGACACAAACCGUCAUCAUAAUUUAACACAGAUAUAACUUUUACACAACACUGGGUGCGUGUUUCUGUACGUGUGUGCUGUAAAUGUCAUUUAAUUUGACUCAUACUCCUUUUCCUUCUCGUGUUUGUUUUGUUUCGUUUCGUUAUUAAAUCUGGAUGUAAAUUGAUGAAGCCAAUGAAUAAAUGAUAUCCAUCUGUC